rnacentral:rRNA from 1 species
UACAGAGACUGCAAGCGUUAUUCGGAUUCACUGGGCGUAAAGGGCGCGCAGGCGGCCAAGUGUGUCAGGUGUGAAAUCCCGAGGCUUAACCUCGGAACUGCGCCUGAAACUACUUGGCUAGAGUACUGGAGAGGGUAACGGAAUUCACGGUGUAGCAGUGAAAUGCGUAGAUAUCGUGAGGAACACCAGAGGCGAAGGCGGUUACCUGGACAGUUACUGACGCUCAGGCACGAAAGCGUGGGGAGCAAAAGGG